UACGAAGGGUGGCAAGCGUUAAUCGGAAUUACUGGGCGUAAAGGCGUGCGCAGGCGGUUGGUUAAGUCUGAUGUGAAAGCCCCGGGCUCAACCGUGGGAAUUGCAUUCGAGGCUGAAUAGCUAGGGUGCGGUAGAGGGAAGCGGAAUUUCCGGUGUAGCGGUGAAAUGCGUAGAUAUCGGAAGGAACAUCAGUGGCGAAAGCGGCUUCCUGGACCAGCACCGACGUUCAGGCACGAAAGCGUGGGGAAGCAAACAGGGA
rnacentral:rRNA from 1 species